rnacentral:rRNA from 1 species
GGUGUGAAAAACUCCGGUGGUAUGGGAUGGACCCGCGUCUGAUUAGCCAGUUGGCAGGGUAACGGCCUACCAAAGCGACGAUCAGUAGCCGACCUGAGAGGGUGACCGGCCACAUUGGGACUGAGACACGGCCCAAACUCCUACGGGAGGCAGCAGUGGGGAAUAUUGCACAAUGGGGGAAACCCUGAUGCAGCGACGCCGCGUGAGCGAAGAAGUAUUUCGGUAUGUAAAGCUCUAUCAGCAGGGAAGAAGAAUGACGGUACCUGACUAAGAAGCACUGGCUAAAUACGUGCCAGCAGCCGCGGUAAUACGUAUGGUGCAAGCGUUAUCCGGAUUUACUGGGUGUAAAGGGAGCGCAGGCGGUGCGGCAAGUCUGAUGUGAAAGCCCGGGGCUCAACCCCGGUACUGCAUUGGAAACUGUCGUACUAGAGUGUCGGAGGGGUAAGUGGAAUUCCUAGUGUAGCGGUGAAAUGCGUAGAUAUUAGGAGGAACACCAGUGGCGAAGGCGGCUUACUGGACGAUAACUGACGCUGAGGCUCGAAAGCGUGGGGAGCAAACAGGAUUAGAUACCCUGGUAGUCCACGCCGUAAACGA